CCAUAUGUCUUCGGUUAAAUCCCAUCAUGUUAAAAUUAUCCGCUAUCGUUAUGCUUGGACUCUGACAGCGCGCACGGGGUGACUUUUCCUAUUCACUGCAGCAAUGAAGAGAGAAAGAGGUGUUGAAGUACCAAACGAGUUGAGACCCAGUGAAGUUAGAUCCACUCCCUCUCGCUAAAAUUGCGUCCCCUUUUGAGGAACAUAGUUUUGUAACGCAGCGUUGUGGGAACCCCUCAACCAUAUCAGGAGCUGUUCCAGAAGGCUGAGGUUGAGGCAGUGGCCAGACACCAGUCCCACUUCAGAGUAAUGGAGGACACUUGAAUCGGGAGCUGGGUCGAAUAUGGUAGACGAAGUCGGGCCCCUUCAUGACCAGUAUCUGUGUUGCGGGGCCUGGAGCUGAUCUACACUGCCAUGCCCAUCAGGCAUUGGCAAACACCUCAGAAGCAGUGGUGUAAAGUACAUAAAGGAAAACUACACACAAAAAAUAUAUUUUGGUAUUUGUUUCAUUAGUCCAUUGUUGACAUAGUCCCAAAAUGUUUUGCUUGUCAGCAAAUCAAGUUUUCAAGAUAUGUAUACAGAAAUCAUCCCAUUAUGAUUAAUUUAGCAUCAUAUUAAGCUGCAAUUUGCAUCAUAUGAUGCGAAAUGCAUCAUACGGGGAUGAUUUCUGUAUUUUGAAAGUUAGGUGCAUCCAGUUUCCUUUGAUCAUCCUUGAGAUGUCACUACAACUUGAUUGGACUUCACCUGUGACCAAUUAAAUUGUAUGCACAUGAUUUUGAAAGAAACACACCUGUCUAUAUAAGGUUCCACAGUUGACAUAGCAUUUCAGAAGAAGAAGUUAUGUAAUUGUUGGAAGAAGGGGAAGCGGUUGAGACUGAAAAAUGGCCAGAAACAAAGACUUUCUUCUGAAACUCGUCAGUCUAUACUUGUUCUGAGAAAUGAAGGCUAUUCCAUGCGAGAAAUUGCCAAGAAACUGAAGAUCUCGUACAACACUGUGUACUACUCCCGUCAUAGAACAGCGCAAACGGGCUCUAACCGGAAUAUAAAGAGGAGUGGGAGGCCCAGGUGCACAACUGAGAAAGAGGACAGGUACAUUAG